rnacentral:rRNA from 1 species
AUACGGAGGAUCCGAGCGUUAUCCGGAUUUAUUGGGUUUAAAGGGUGCGCAGGCGGCCAUUUAAGUCAGCGGUUAAAUCGUGGGGCUCAACCCCAUUCUGCCGUUGAUACUGGGUGGCUUGAUUGCGGUCGAGGGUGGCGGCAUUCGUUGUGUAGCGGUGAAAUGCAUAGAUAUGACGAAGAACACCGAUUGCGUAGGCAGCUGACCAGACCGCAAAUGACGCUCAUGCACGAAAGUGCGGGAUCGAACAGGAUUAGAUACCCUGGUAGUCCGCACAGUAAACGAUGAAUACUUGUUUUCGGCGAUAUAAUGUCGGAGGCAAAGCGAAAGCGAUAAGUAUUCCACCUGGGGAGUACGCCGGCAACGGUGAAACUCAAAGGAAUUGACGGGG